rnacentral:rRNA from 1 species
GAUGAACGCUGGCGGCGUGCCUAAUACAUGCAAGUCGAGCGAACAGACGAGGAUCUUGUUCCUUUGACGUUAGCGGCGGACGGGUGAGUAACACGUGGGUAACCUACCUUUUAGGCUGGGAUAACUUCGGGAAACGGGAGCUAAUACCGGAUAAUCUUUCGAACCGCAUGGUUCGAUAUUGAAAGAUGGCUUUGCUAUCACUUGUAGAUGGUCCUGCGCCGUAUUAUCUAGUUGGUAAUGUAACGGUUUACCAAGGCAACGAUACGUAGCCGACGUGAGAGGGUGAUGGGCCACACUGAGACUGAGACAGGGACCAGACUCAUACGGGUGGCGGCAGUAGGGAAUCUGCAGCAAUGGGCGAAGGCCUGAGGGAGAAACGCCGAGGGAGUGAGGAAGGUCUUCGGAUCGUAGAACUCUGUUAUUAGGGAAGAACAAGAGUGUACGUGACUGGGCACGUGUUGACGGUACCUAAUCAGAAAGCCACGGCUAACUACGUG